ensembl:rRNA 5S_rRNA 5S ribosomal RNA
GCUUACGGCCAUACCUCUCUGGCUCCGCCUGAUCUCGUCUGAUCUCAGAAGCUAAGCAGAGUAGGACCUGGUUAGUACUUGGAUGGAAGACCGCCUGGGAAUCGCAGGUGCCGUAAGCU